UACGGGGGGGGCAAGCGUUGUUCGGAAUUACUGGGCGUAAAGGGCUCGUAGGCGGCCAACUAAGUCAGACGUGAAAUCCCUCGGCUUAACCGGGGAACUGCGUCUGAUACUGGGAGGCUUGAGUAUGGGAGAGGGAUGUAGAAUUCCAGGUGUAGCGGUGAAAUGCGUAGAUAUCUGGAGGAAUACCGGUGGCGAAGGCGGCAUCCUGGACCAUUACUGACGCUGAGGCGCGAAAGCUAGGGGAGCAAACGGG
rnacentral:rRNA from 1 species